CGGCGAGCGAACGGGGAGCAGCCCAGAGUCUGAAUCAGCUUGUGUGUUAGUGGAACGGUCUGGAAAGUCCGACGGUACAGGGUGAUAGUCCCGUACACCAAAAUGCACAGGCUGUGAACUCGAAGAGUAGGGCGGGACACGUGGUAUCCUGUCUGAAUAUGGGGGGACCAUCCUCCAAGGCUAAAUACUCCUGACUGACCGAUAGUGAACCAGUACCGUGAGGGAAAGGCGAAAAGAACCCCGGCGAGGGGAGUGAAAAAGAACCUGAAACCGUGUACGUACAAGCAGUGGGAGCACCUUCGGGUGUGACUGCGUACCUUUUGUAUAAUGGGUCAGCGACUUAUAUUCUGUAGCAAGGUUAACCGUAUAGGGGAGCCGCAGGGAAACCGAGUCUUAACUGGGCGUUAAGUUGCAGGGUAUAGACCCGAAACCCGGUGAUCUAGCCAUGGGCAGGUUGAAGGUUGGGUAACACUAACUGGAGGACCGAACCGACUAAUGUUGAAAAAUUAGCGGAUGACUUGUGGCUGGGGGUGAAAGGCCAAUCAAACCGGGAGAUAGCUGGUUCUCCCCGAAAGCU
rnacentral:rRNA from 1 species